rnacentral:rRNA from 1 species
UACGUAGGUGGCAAGCGUUUGUCCGGAUUUAUUGGGUUUAAAGGGUGCGUAGGCGGCUUUGUAAGUCAGUGGUGAAAUAUGGCAGCUUAACUGUCAAGGUGCCAUUGAUACUGCGGAGCUUGAGUACAGAUGAGGUAGGCGGAAUUGACGGUGUAGCGGUGAAAUGCUUAGAUAUCGUCAAGAACACCUAUAGCGAAAGGCAGCUUUACUAGGCUGUAACUGACGCUGAGGCACGAAAAGUUGUGGGG